GACAGAGGGUGCAAACGUUGUUCGGAAUUACUGGGCGUAAAGGGCUCGUAGGCGGCCAACUAAGUCGGAUGUGAAAUCCCCAGGCUUAACCUGGGAACUGCAUCCGAUACUGGAUGGCUUGAAUUCGGGAGAGGGAUGCAGAAUUCCAGGUGUAGCGGUGAAAUGCGUAGAUAUCUGGAGGAACACCGGUGGCGAAGGCGGCAUCCUGGACCAAUAUUGACGCUGAGGAGCGAAAGCCAGGGGAGCAAAGCGGG
rnacentral:rRNA from 1 species